GGGCUGGUGGCGAAACGGUAUCGCAUCCCGUUGGCUUCGGGAAGGCUCCGGGUUCAAAGGCCGAACGCAGCGCGCAGAAUGCAGCGUUCGGCAGAAAGUCCCGGCCAGUCCA
rnacentral:tRNA from 1 species